rnacentral:rRNA from 1 species
GGGAAUAUUGCACAAUGGGCGAAAGCCUGAUGCAGCAACGCCGCGUGAGCGAUGAAGGCCUUCGGGUCGUAAAGCUCUGUCCUCAAGGAAGAUAAUGACGGUACUUGAGGAGGAAGCCCCGGCUAACUACGUGCCAGCAGCCGCGGUAAUACGUAGGGGGCUAGCGUUAUCCGGAAUUACUGGGCGUAAAGGGUGCGUAGGUGGUUUCUUAAGUCAGAGGUGAAAGGCUACGGCUCAACCGUAGUAAGCCUUUGAAACUGGGGAACUUGAGUGCAGGAGAGGAGAGUGGAAUUCCUAGUGGAGCGGUGAAAUGCGUAGAUAUCAGGAGGAACACCGGUGGCGAAGGCGGCCUGCUGGACUGCGACUGACGUUGAGGCCCGAAAGCGUGGGGAGCAAACAGG